CCAGCAACAACUAGUGUGUCGCCAUUAGGGCGAUAUAUUUUGACUUUUAUUUUGACACAUUGAGAAAGAAUACAAACUUUUACUUUGAUACAAUUUCCUGUAACUUCCUUACCACUUCCUGCCUUGUCAUCAGUUACUUCCCACUCAGUUCCUAUCUGUUGAAAACAGUUAAUACUUAAGAAUUCCUGACCGUGAAAGAUGCUAGAAGCAAAGUCUUUUCACUCUGCCAUGUAAUGCUGGAAUCUUCAGUAAACAACAGUGAAAUGUUAACUACGACACAGACUCCUGGUUAUUGCAUCAGAGUUUAACUUGUUGGAUAGCUUCAGUUGUUACACUGCAGUGAAGACAACACAGUGAAAAGACUGAGAAGUUAGCAUUGAAUAACGAGUCAAGAUGGAAACUACAUCUAAUAAAUCAGGAAAAAGUGGAAGCAGCUUUCAUUCAUCUGCCUCAUCAACCAAUGCUUUACUUCGUGCACGAGCAAAAGCAGCAGCUACUAAAGUGCGUGCCGAAUAUGCUGAGCAAGAAGCCAAAGCUAGGAUAGAAAAA